rnacentral:lncRNA from 1 species
UAUUACCAAAUGCCUGACUUAAGAAAAAAAAUGUAAACAAAAGACAGAGAUUGGAAGCAUCAGAAUUUUAUUCCAGUGACUCAAUCCCCAUUGUGUGAAGUAGACCAGAAUGAAUAAACUGAACUUACUCAGCACCUCAAUUAUUAAAUGUAUCCACAGAAAUUCAUUCUGUCAAGUUAACUGUGGAGGUUGUUGUUGCUAUUGCAACUAAAUGGUUUUCCUGGGAACUCUGACUCUGGCCACAAGAUGAAGACUGACAAAUUUCCUUUCUCUGUUUAUGGAGGGAGACUUCACAACAUUCACUGAAAGAGGAGCAAAGGACCUGGUUUUUGCCAUGACUGGCUUUGGCCCUGUGAAUGAAUGUUUUUCUGGCAUUGGAAAGCAGAUAGCAAAGAGAGCAGAACCACAAAUGGGCUAUGAGGAAAUGUGUUCAAUGAAGAAAACAAAAUCUCUGACAAGAUCCAACAUAGGACAACAUCUCAGCAUCUUCUGUGAUUUGUGAACCCAAGCAAAGCACUUCUUAGAGUUAUCUGGCACAUUCGCAACUAAUAGCUUUCCAUGAAUAAAUACUGUGGCAACCACAUUAACUGUACAAAAACAAACUGCUUAUUUCUUAUAUCCGUGCUGGAAGAUUAUCUGGCUGGCCUAUCAGCUGUGAUGUCAGGAAUGUCAGCCAGUUAUCCUAUGGUGCAUUCAGCUGGGUCAUUGUACCCCAUCAGUGAGGCAAUUGCAAAGUUCCAUCUGGACAGAGGUAGAAAAAAUUAUAUUCACUUUGAGUUUUGGAUUUUUUUCUCUUAAUUUUCAAAGAUAAAGACAAUUGCUUUU